GACGAACGCUGGCGGCGUGCUUAACACAUGCAAGUCGAACGAAGAGCGACGGAAGCUUGCUUCUAUCAAUCUUAGUGGCGAACGGGUGAGUAACGCGUAAUCAACCUGCCCUUCAGAGGGGGACAACAGUUGGAAACGACUGCUCAUACCGCAUACGAUCUAACCUCGGCAUCGAGGAUAGAUGAAAGGUGGCCUCUACAUGUAAGCUAUCACUGAAGGAGGGGAUUGCGUCUGAUUAGCUAGUUGGAGGGGUAACGGCCCACCAAGGCGAUGAUCAGUAGCCGGUCUGAGAGGAUGAACGGCCACAUUGGGACUGAGACACGGCCCAGACUCCUACGGGAGGCAGCAGUGGGGAAUCUUCCGCAAUGGACGAAAGUCUGACGGAGCAACGCCGCGUGAGUGAUGACGGCCUUCGGGUUGUAAAGCUCUGUUAAUCGGGACGAAAGGCCUUCUUGCGAAUAGUGAGAAGGAUUGACGGUACCGGAAUAGAAAGCCACGGCUAACUACGUG
rnacentral:rRNA from 1 species